rnacentral:rRNA from 1 species
AUUGAACGCUGGCGGCAUGCCUUACACAUGCAAGUCGAACGGCAGCACGGGUGCUUGCACCUGGUGGCGAGUGGCGAACGGGUGAGUAAUACAUCGGCACAUGUCCUGUAGUGGGGGAUAGCCCGGCGAAAGCCGGAUUAAUACCGCAUACGAUCUACGGAUGAAAGCGGGGGACCUUCGGGCCUCGCGCUAUAGGGUUGGCCGAUGGCUGAUUAGCUAGUUGGUGGGGUAAAGGCCUACCAAGGCGACGAUCAGUAGCUGGUCUGAGAGGACGACCAGCCACACUGGGACUGAGACACGGCCCAGACUCCUACGGGAGGCAGCAGUGGGGAAUUUUGGACAAUGGGCGAAAGCCUGAUCCAGCAAUGCCGCGUGUGUGAAGAAGGCCUUCGGGUUGUAAAGCACUUUUGUCCGGAAAGAAAUCCUUGGCCCUAAUACGGUCGGGGGAUGACGGUACCGGAAGAAUAAGCACCGGCUAACUACGUG